AUUGAACGCUGGCGGAAUGCUUUACGCAUGCAAGUCGAACGGCAGCACGGGGGCAACCCUGGUGGCGAGUGGCGAACGGGUGAGUAAUACAUCGGAACGUGCCCAGUCGUGGGGGAUAACGUAGCGAAAGUUACGCUAAUACCGCAUACGAUCUACGGAUGAAAGCGGGGGCACGUAAGGCCCCGCCCGAUCGGAGCGGCCGAUGUCAGAUUAGGUAGUUGGUGAGGUAAGGCUCACCAAGCCGACGAUCUGUAGCUGGUCUGCGAGGACGACCAGCCAAACUGGGAGUGAGACACGGCCCAGACUCCUACGGGAGGCAGCAGUGGGGAAUUUUGGACAAUGGGCGCAAGCCUGAUCCAGCCAUUCCGCGUGCAGGACGAAGGCCUUCGGGUUGUAAACUGCUUUUGUACGGAACGAAAAGGCUCUGGUUAAUACCUGGGGCUCAUGACGGUACCGUAAGAAUAAGCACCGGCUAACUACGUGCCAGCCGCCGCAGUAA
rnacentral:rRNA from 1 species